AGCUGAUGGAAUUUGAGAAAUGGCAGGUGUGAGGACUCUGACCUUCCCAUGAAGCAGGUCAUAAGACCCUCAUGUGAGAGAUGCCCUCUCUAUACCUGGAGAAAAGAAGCAGUCUUAUUUGUGAAGACAGAGAGACGCCAAGAGGAAUCUAAAUGAAUAAGGAACCCCAGACGCACGGGCCUUGUGCUGUCGCUGCCGUGGCACCCCUUCUAGAAGGACUCUAUUCUCUAUAACAGAAGUGGGAGCCUUGGACAACUGAACGCCUAUCUCUAGCUCAAGAAAUGUCAGCUCUUUUUUUUUUUUUGAGACUGUCAC
rnacentral:lncRNA from 10 species